rnacentral:rRNA from 1 species
GACGAACGCUGGCGGCGUGCUUAACACAUGCAAGUCGAACGGAAAGGCCCUGCUUUUGUGGGGUGCUCGAGUGGCGAACGGGUGAGUAACACGUGAGUAACCUGCCCUUGACUUUGGGAUAACUUCAGGAAACUGGGGCUAAUACCGGAUAGGAGCUCCUGCUGCAUGGUGGGGGUUGGAAAGUUUCGGCGGUUGGGGAUGGACUCGCGGCUUAUCAGCUUGUUGGUGGGGUAGUGGCUUACCAAGGCUUUGACGGGUAGCCGGCCUGAGAGGGUGACCGGCCACAUUGGGACUGAGAUACGGCCCAGAAUCCUACGGGAGGCAGCAGUGGGGAAUAUUGCACAAUGGGCGGAAGCCUGAUGCAGCAACGCCGCGUGCGGGAUGACGGCCUUCGGGUUGUAAACCGCUUUCGCCUGUGACGAAGCGUGAGUGACGGUAAUGGGUAAAGAAGCACCGGCUACUACGUG